GCCAUCUUUAUCUUGAUGUUAGGACAAUUGAGGAAUUUGACAAAGGACAUGUAGAUAAUGCCAUCAAUGUUCCCUACAUGUUUUUCCACUCCAGAAGGGAGGGUUAAAAACAGUGGGUUUGUGGAACAGGUCUCCUUUGAAUUCAAAAAGGAAGAUCAUAUUGUUGUGGGAUGUCAAAGUGGGGUUCGAUCGCUCUAUGCAGCUGAGGACCUUUUAAAUACUGGUUAUAAGAAUGUAGAAAAGAACAUGGGAGGGAAGUUACCUUGCAUGGGUGCAGAAUGGAAUUA